rnacentral:rRNA from 1 species
UACGGAGGAUCCAAGCGUUAUCCGGAAUUACUGGGCGUAAAGAGUUGCGUAGGUGGCAUAGUAAGCGAAUAGUGAAAGCGUGUGGCUCAACCAUACAUCCAUUAUUUGAACUGCUAAGCUCGAAGAUGAGAGAGGUUAUUGGAAUUCCCAGUGUAGGAGUGAAAUCCGUAGAUAUUGGGAGGAACACCGAUGGCGUAGGCAGGUAACUGGCUCAUUCUUGACACUAAGGCACGAAAGCGUGGGGAGCAAACGGG